ACGAACGCUGGCGGCGUGCUUAACACAUGCAAGUCGAACGGUGAAGCGCCUUCCUUUUUGGUGGGUGUGGAUGAGUGGCGAACGGGUGAGUAACACGUGAGUAACCUGCCCCCUUCUUCUGGAUAACCGCAUGAAAGUGUGGCUAAUACGGGAUAUUCUGGGUCUGUCGCAUGAUGGGUCUGGGAAAGAUAUUGUUUCGGUGGGGGAUGGGCUUGCGGCCUAUCAGCUUGUUGGUGGGGUGAUGGCCUACCAAGGCGGUGACGGGUAGCCGGCCUGAGAGGGUGGACGGUCACACUGGGACUGAGACACGGCCCAGACUCCUACGGGAGGCAGCAGUGGGGAAUAUUGCACAAUGGGCGCAAGCCUGAUGCAGCGACGCCGCGUGAGGGAUGGAGGCCUUCGGGUUGUGAACCUCUUUCGCCAGUGAAGCAGGCCUGCCUCGUUUGUGGGUGGGUUGACGGUAGCUGGAUAAGAAGCGCCGGCUAACUACGUG
rnacentral:rRNA from 1 species